ACUCCUACGGGAGGCAGCAGUGGGGAAUAUUGGACAAUGGGCGCAAGCCUGAUCCAGCCAUGCCGCGUGAGUGAUGAAGGCCCUAGGGUUGUAAAGCUCUUUCACCGGUGAAGAUAAUGACGGUAACCGGAGAAGAAGCCCCGGCUAACUUCGUGCCAGCAGCCGCGGUAAUACGAAGGGGGCUAGCGUUGUUCGGAUUUACUGGGCGUAAAGCGCACGUAGGCGGACUAUUAAGUCAGGGGUGAAAUCCCGGGGCUCAACCCCGGAACUGCCUUUGAUACUGGUAGUCUUGAGUUCGAGAGAGGUGAGUGGAAUUCCGAGUGUAGAGGUGAAAUUCGUAGAUAUUCGGAGGAACACCAGUGGCGAAGGCGGCUCACUGGCUCGAUACUGACGCUGAGGUGCGAAAGCGUGGGGAGCAAACAGGAUUAGAAACCCGAGUAGUCCCAUGA
rnacentral:rRNA from 1 species